rnacentral:lncRNA from 1 species
UGAAAACAGAGUGGACAAUCAAUAUCUGUAAGAUGAAUGAACGAACAAUGCCAAGCCCUCCCACAGACCAGACACCCGGUCCUCUGAACUGGCCCUCUCCUCCGCGCACUGUGAUGGUGAGCUUCCCGGGAGCUUGCUGAGCGGGGGGCUAGCACGCAUUAAGUUUUAUCCUCACUGUAAUGCUACUGUGGAUUCUGUUAGUAGCACCCUUUCGUUGAAGAGGAAAGUGGGACUUACUUAAGAGCUACGUAGUGACUUUCUCAAAGUAACACAGCUUGACAGAGAGAUCGUGCCAUGGAAACAAGAGGGAAGAAAUCUGAAGCAAAGGGACCCUGUCUGGGAAAAGCCACAGAAGUCAACAAGAGCAAUCCAAAGCAAGGUCUUCCGGCAAAAUAGUGAAGCUCCUGAGCUUGUGACUCCAGAGUGACAAUCACUAACAGAUGCAUUGGUACUUGGGCAGAAUUGGCCUUUAAUUGUUGCUUGUAGGAGAAAGGAAAAGCGACUAGCAGCACCGUUCUCUGUUGCUGGCAGAUAACAAACUCAAGAUGAAGCCACAUUUACAGGGGAGAAAUUGCUUACGCCCACAGAAUGAAAUUUCAGGCUUUGACAGCUGCUAGUUUGGCUAGCUGGUCUUCUACACUAAAAGCAUAAAGAAGGCUGGACUUUCUAAAAGGAUCUCUGACACGGAAAGUAUGUAAAGAGCUGAGAUAAAUUGCAACUCACCACUGCUAAAUGUAUUGCACAUCAGCCCACCUCCUGCCACUGCCAGCUCCUCACAGAGAAAAGAACAGUCUCAGUUAACCUGCUUUCUGCAGGGAAGAUAUCUGAAACAAAGUCCGGGCCUGGAACAACUGAUUCUGAGACUUGCUCAUCUGGUCCCAGUCGUCAGAUCUUGUUUCCUGCUGUCCACUGUUUCUUCAUGCAUGAUCUAACAUGUGAGCAUAUCUUUGUGUCUGACUAUACUCUUUAUUUUAUUUUAAGAUUUUAUUUUAUUCAUCCAUGAGAGACACACACACAGAGAGAGAGGCAGAGACAUAGGCAGAGGGAGAAGGAGGCCCAUGCAGUGAGUCUGAUGCAGGACUCAAUCUCAGGACUCUGGGACUACGACCUGAGUCAAAGGCAGAUGCUCAACCACUGAGCCACCCAGGCAUCCCUCUGACUACAUCCCUCUUUAAAUGCUGACCCCAGUUCCUGGCUUCUCCAUCCCACUGUGUCCACUCAGCCUUCCUACUCUGACCGUUCACGCUGCCUGUGCUUCUCAUUGUACCUCUGAAAGGCUGAGGAAGAUUUCAAUUCAAACUUGACUUUGUUUGCCAGUGGCUUGAGCUAUCAAAACACACCUGAAGACUUAAUAUCAUCAUGAGCCUCCUUCACUGUUUUUGGUGUGUGUGUGUGUUUCAUUGUUGUUGUUUUGUUUUUUGUUUUUUCUGCAACUUAAGAUAGAAUGGUUUCCCAACCAUGUGCUCUAUCAAUCCAUACGUUGCUCUGGCUUCUCAUCUGUGAACUACUCUGGUUUCUGGCUAAUUUUUUUCCUGCCUGUUAGUCCACCAACACCUGAGGUGGGAUGUCAAACCAAGACAAAGAAAAAUGGCUUUUCUAUCUGGAUACAGUAUAAGUCCCUGUUAGGUAU